UUGAAUAAGCUUCAAACUUCGCCAAGGUAGCAUAGAUGUCAACUUGUAUGGUUGUCUUGACCUUGCAUACAAACAAAAAGAAAAAUACCUUAGUAGCACUGCACUUAGAUAAAAAGAUUUUAAACAAAAAUAAAACUAAAAAGAGAAAGAAUAUGGGGGGAAAUUUAAGAAGAAACAAAAAUAACUUAUUACAAAAAAA
rnacentral:lncRNA from 1 species